UAGAGGGUAGUGUAAAUGGAAGUGCAAAGAGUUUUGAUCUCUUGGGUAUAGGUUCAAGUCCUGUCUCUCUAA
rnacentral:tRNA from 1 species